rnacentral:snRNA from 1 species
AUACUUACAAGGCAGGGGAGAUACCAUGAUCACAAAGGUGGUUUUCCCAGGGCGAGGCUUAUCCAUUGCACUCCAGAUGUGCUUACCCCUGCGAUUUCCCCAAAUGUAGGAAACUCGACUGCAUAAUUCAUGGUAGUGGGGGACUGUAUUUGUGCUCUCCCUUG